GACGAACCGUGCAAACGUUGUUCGGAAUCACUGGGCUUAAAGGGCGCGUAGGCGGGCGAUCAAGUCCGGGGUGAAAUCUUUCGGCUCAACCGGAAAACUGCCUUGGAUACUGAUCGUCUUGAGGGAGGUAGGGGCAGGUGGAACUUCCGGUGGAGCGGUGAAAUGCGUUGAUAUCGGAAGGAACGCCGGUGGCGAAAGCGGCCUGCUGGAUCUCUUCUGACGCUGAUGCGCGAAAGCUAGGGUAGCGAACGGG
rnacentral:rRNA from 1 species